AUUGAACGCUGGCGGCAUGCCUUACACAUGCAAGUCGAACGGUAACAGGUCUUCGGAUGCUGACGAGUGGCGAACGGGUGAGUAAUACAUCGGAACGUGCCUAGUAGUGGGGGAUAACUACUCGAAAGAGUGGCUAAUACCGCAUGAGAUCUACGGAUGAAAGCAGGGGAUCGCAAGACCUUGUGCUACUAGAGCGGCCGAUGGCAGAUUAGGUAGUUGGUGGGAUAAAAGCUUACCAAGCCGACGAUCUGUAGCUGGUCUGAGAGGACGAUCAGCCACACUGGGACGCAGACACGGCCCAGACUCCUACGGGAGGCAGCAGUGGGGAAUUUUGGACAAUGGGCGAAAGCCUGAUCCAGCAAUGCCGCGUGCAGGAUGAAGGCCUUCGGGUUGUAAACUGCUUUUGUACGGAACGAAAAGCCCCGGGUUAAUACCCUGGGGUCAUGACGGUACCGUAAGAAUAAGCACCGGCUACUACGUGCCAGCCGCCGCAGUAA
rnacentral:rRNA from 1 species